rnacentral:rRNA from 1 species
AUUGAACGCUGGCGGCAUGCCUUACACAUGCAAGUCGAACGGCAGCACGGGAGCAAUCCUGGUGGCGAGUGGCGAACGGGUGAGUAAUUCAUCGGAACGUGCCCAAUCGUGGGGGAUAACGCAGCGAAAGCUGUGCUAAUACCGCAUAAGAUCUACGGAUGAAAGCAGGGGACCGCAAGGCCUUGCGCGAAUGGAGCGGC